ensembl:lncRNA
GAAAGUAGAAGUUUUCAGACGUGUCACUGCUGGAUGUGAGGAUGGGAGCCACUUUGCUCUGUGAGCUGGGCCUAUUCUUGCUCUGUACGCUCCUCUGUACUGGACACGCUCAAGAUGCUGUGCUAACUAUUGAACCCAGCUGGUCCAGUUUAUUUUUCAUUGGAGAGUUUGUUACCUUCAAAUGUGACAUGAAUGAAGGAAAAGACACUGACUGGAAAUACAAAAUCAACAAGGAUGGUCAAGACUUUUUCUCCUACAGGAUAAACAAAGACUACAAAUUAAAAAUGACAUCUACAGGUGACAGUGGUGAAUAUCAGUGCUUUGGUCUCAG